UACGGAGGGGGCUAGCGUUGUUCGGAAUUACUGGGCGUAAAGCGCGCGUAGGCGGACCUGCAAGUCGGGGGUGAAAGCCCGAGGCUCAACCUCGGAACGUGCCUUCGAUACUGCGGGUCUCGAGUCCGGGAGAGGUGAGUGGAAUUCCUAGUGUAGAGGUGAAAUUCGUAGAUAUUAGGAAGAACAGCCUGUGGCGAAGGCGGCGUGCUCUGGGACGGUACGUGACGCUGAGACGCGGAAAGCGUGGGGAGCAAACAGG
rnacentral:rRNA from 1 species